CGUUGUCAAAAUGUCAAAAAUUGUUGUGAAAAUAUUUUAUUAAAUAAACAAAAUAAUUGAAUUAAAAAUAACUAAUUUUAUUUUAAAUUGUUUAAAAAUAAGUUAAAAAUAAGAAAUCAGAUAAUUAAGUGUGAAUAAAAGUGUAAAUUAAAAAAGAAACAAAUUUGAAUAGAGGUUAUGUUCGGAUUUAAAGGGACAUAGAGAAUAACAAAAGAAAUACAAUUCUCGUUUUAGUUAUUUUCUCUUUAAAUAAAAGUGCGUGUUAAAAAAAAAGAAAAAAAAAUAGAGAGAGAGCGAUAGCGCGAGUAAAAGAAUUCUUUCUGCGUAAAAUGGGUUUGACGCUAUAAAACGGGAUUGCGAUUGGAGUAAACUGCGUAUAUACAUGGGCUGGUUAACAGAGGAUUUCUCCUUCCUUUGUGAUUUUCUCCCUCCCUCCCUCUCCCAUGUGGGGUAGGUCAAGCAAGGCCAGGUGCAGACUCGGCCCCAUGGACAGAUGAAAAAAGAAGUUGGAUGCUCCUUUGGAAAUGCAGAAGUGGAAAAGUGAAAAAUACAAAAUAGUGUGUGAUUCUCCGAAAAUAAAAGAUUGGAAUGAGAACCGAAACGUCGAGAGAGUUUUUAGGUCGUUGCUACGAGCUCCAGACAUUGGGAGGCCGUUCCACCCUUGGAAGCAUUUGAAAGAGAAAGAGAGAGGGAUAGAAAAAAGAGAGAGAGAGAGUGAGUAAAAGCAGGAAAGAGAAAAAAAGCCUAACUUGUAUAUAGGGAUAGGAAUCAGGGAGUGGGUUAGAGCUUCAGCCCCCACCAAAAGAAUUCAAGUUCUUUGACCAGAAAAUUGUGUGUCAAAAAAAAAGAAGAACCUUUUCAGAGAGAAUUAUCAUUUGAUGCGACUCAAGAUGAAAAAUAUAUAUAAAUCGAGGGAGGUUAUUUUCCAAAUUUUACUAAAAGGUAAUAGUUUGACUGUGAAAUAUUCGAAGGGGAAUUGACAAGGUAUAUAGAAAGAAAGAGAAGAAGAGAGGGCCGAGGUCGACUGGGAUUUAGUCGAUUCACACGAGAAAGAGCUAUAUGAUUUUACAGGGAGAUGCGUUCUCCAUGGUAUAUAUAUAUGUAUAUAAAUAAAGGUGAGGACAGGUGUGCAGCGAGGGUGCGUUCACAGUCUACUGAGUCAGAGCAGUGAGCAAUCGCAGGACAGUCAUCGAGCACACAAACUUCCCUUACUAAAACAAUUCCACACUUGUUACAAUUUAAAAAAAAAAAAACAAACACAAAAUUACUAUUGUUUUCAAAACAAUUAAAAAUGUCCAAUUGGAAAAAUAAUUGAAAAAUUUAUUUCCAAUUGGAAAAUUAGAAUGAAAUUUUUUUUUUUAAAUUCCAAUUGGGAAAAAUUAUUAUCUUAUUGAAAAAUUUUCUCAAAAGAAAAAGAGAUUAGAAAAGCUCAUUUUUCGAAAAAAAAAAACAUAUCCUAUUUUGAUAAAAAAUCAUUUUUGAAUUUUCUCUUCAGUGAUUAUUUGAGGAAAAUUUUUUAAGGAUAAUCUGUGCACAAGUGUAUGUAUGUAUUUGUGACAGGGACACAAAGGAGUGCUGGAUAAGAGCAAAAGCGGAUUUAUUCAAUGCUUUGAUCCCUUGGGCUCUCAAAUCACGCUCCGUAGCGCAAUUGUAACCAAAAUAGAUAUUUUUUUUGUAAAAAAAAUAAAAAUUCGAUAUAAGAAAAUUGAAAACAAAUAAUUUAUAUUUUACAAACCGUUAAUUAUAAAAAGGAAAAUAUUUUUACUAAUUAUGCAAUAUUUUUUGUUUCUUUUAAUUUUUGGUAAUUAAUUAAAUUAGAAAUUAAAUUAAUCUCAAACAGUAAUUAAUAUUAAAAUUUUCUUUUAUGAUUUUUUAACGUGAUUUGAAAUAUUUUCAUUUUCAACAAAAAAAAUUAGUAAAAAGAAUGAAUAUUUUGAAAAUAUGUAUGGU